rnacentral:rRNA from 1 species
GGCGUGCCUAAUACAUGCAAGUCGAGCGGACAGAUGGGAGCUUGCUCCCUGAUGUUAGCGGCGGACGGGUGAGUAACACGUGGGUAACCUGCCUGUAAGACUGGGAUAACUCCGGGAAACCGGGGCUAAUACCGGAUGGUUGUUUGAACCGCAUGGUUCAGACAUAAAAGGUGGCUUCGGCUACCACUUACAGAUGGACCCGCGGCGCAUUAGCUAGUUGGUGAGGUAACGGCUCACCAAGGCAACGAUGCGUAGCCGACCUGAGAGGGUGAUCGGCCACACUGGGACUGAGACACGGCCCAGACUCCUACGGGAGGCAGCAGUAGGGAAUCUUCCGCAAUGGACGAAAGUCUGACGGAGCAACGCCGCGUGAGUGAUGAAGGUUUUCGGAUCGUAAAGCUCUGUUGUUAGGGAAGAACAAGUGCCGUUCAAAUAGGGCGGCACCUUGACGGUACCUAACCAGAAAGCCACGGCUAACUACGUGCCAGCAGCCGCGGUAAUACGUAGGUGGCAAGCGUUGUCCGGAAUUAUUGGGCGUAAAGGGCUCGCAGGCGGUUUCUUAAGUCUGAUGUGAAAGCCCCCGGCUCAACCGGGGAGGGUCAUUGGAAACUGGGGAACUUGAGUGCAGAAGAGGAGAGUGGAAUUCCACGUGUAGCGGUGAAAUGCGUAGAGAUGUGGAGGAACACCAGUGGCGAAGG